rnacentral:misc_RNA from 1 species
GGAAGACACGCCCGAGUUCGGGUCAGCGAGAGCCUUCUCAAGCCCUGGAAUGUAUGACCAGUUGGUCUGCAGGCCCGUCGCGACGACCAGAGACUCGUAACCAAUCUUGCGCCCUGAUGCUGUAGUGAGCGAGUUGGUCUUAGGCUCAAACGCCUUGACAUUCUCAGGAAUGAGGGCGAGAUGCGACGGGAUGAGCGAGCUGAGCCUCCGGCGCGUGUCUUC